AUAUAUAUAUAUAUAUAUGGAAGGGUAUAUACGAUAUACCGACACACGCGCUUGAGACUAGACAACUAGACCAAACCGGUCAACAUGUUUCAUUCUACUGUCCUGGUUCUACUAUUACACCCUUGGAAAAGAACAUGGUGAAGAAAAACCAAGGGGAAUUCAUUGCUAACUAAAUGGACAGCUAUCUAUUUGCUUUUGGUGUUUUGUUGUGUGUGUGUUUUUUUUUUGUAAUAAAUUUUUUUAUACACCCAAGGGUAACCUAAAUUAUGUACAAAGAUCAAAAAACACUAAUAUAUACAAAAUCACAAACUACACAACAUAAUUUAGAGCAUAAACACAAUACACUGAUAUAUACAGAAUCAUAAAAUACAUAUAAGUACAUAAGUUUGUUUGUGUCACAACAAUAUAUACAAGGCUACCACCCCUAACUAAAAAGCA
rnacentral:lncRNA from 1 species